rnacentral:rRNA from 1 species
AUACGUAGGGGGCGAGCGUUGUCCGGAAUGAUUGGGCGUAAAGGGCGCGUAGGCGGCCCGGUAAGUCUGGAGUGAAAGUCCUGUUUUUAAGAUGGGAAUUGCUUUGGAUACCGUCGGGCUUGAGUGCAGGAGAGGUAAGUGGAAUUCCCAGUGUAGCGGUGAAAUGCGUAGAGAUUGGGAGGAACACCAGUGGCGAAGGCGACUUACUGGACUGUAACUGACGCUGAGGCGCGAAAGUGUGGGGAGCAAACAGGAUUAGAUACCCUGGUAGUCCACACUGUAAACGAUGAAUGCUAGGUGCAGGGGGUAUCGACCCCUUCUGUGCCGCAGUCAACACAAUAAGCAUUCCGCCUGGGGAGUACGGCCGCAAGGUUGAAACUCAAAUGAAUUGGCGGGG